UACGUAGGGGGCAAGCGUUGUCCGGAUUUAUUGGGCGUAAAGAGCGUGUAGGCGGCCAGGUAGGUCCGCUGUGAAAACUUGAGGCUCAACCUCGAGAUGUCGGCGGAAACCCCCUGGCUAGAGUCCGGAAGAGGAGAGUGGAAUUCCCGGUGUAGCGGUGAAAUGCGCAGAUAUCAGGAGGAACACCGGUGGCGAAGGCGGGUCUCUGGGCCGAUACUGACGCUGAGGAGCGAAAGCGUGGGGAGCGAACAGG
rnacentral:rRNA from 1 species